rnacentral:rRNA from 1 species
AGUGAACGCUGGCGGUAGGCCUAACACAUGCAAGUCGAACGGCAGCACAGUAAGAGCUUGCUCUUACGGGUGGCGAGUGGCGGACGGGUGAGGAAUACAUCGGAAUCUACUUUUUCGUGGGGGAUAACGUAGGGAAACUUACGCUAAUACCGCAUACGACCUACGGGUGAAAGCAGGGGAUCUUCGGACCUUGCGCGAUUGAAUGAGCCGAUGUCGGAUUAGCUAGUUGGCGGGGUAAAGGCCCACCAAGGCGACGAUCCGUAGCUGGUCUGAGAGGAUGAUCAGCCACACUGGAACUGAGACACGGUCCAGACUCCUACGGGAGGCAGCAGUGGGGAAUAUUGGACAAUGGGCGCAAGCCUGAUCCAGCUAUACCGCGUGGGUGAAGAAGGCCUUCGGGUUGUAAAGCCCUUUUGUUAGGAAAGAAAAGCAGCAGGUUAAUACCCCGCUGUUCUGACGGUACCCAAAGAAUAAGCACCGGCUAACUUCGUG